rnacentral:rRNA from 1 species
UAGGGAAUCUUCCACAAUGGGCGCAAGCCUGAUGGAGCAACACCGCGUGAGUGAAGAAGGGUUUCGGCUCGUAAAGCUCUGUUGUUAAAGAAGAACACGUAUGAGAGUAACUGUUCAUACGUUGACGGUAUUUAACCAGAAAGUCACGGCUAACUACGUGCCAGCAGCCGCGGUAAUACGUAGGUGGCAAGCGUUAUCCGGAUUUAUUGGGCGUAAAGAGAGUGCAGGCGGUUUUCUAAGUCUGAUGUGAAAGCCUUCGGCUUAACCGGAGAAGUGCAUCGGAAACUGGAUAACUUGAGUGCAGAAGAGGGUAGUGGAACUCCAUGUGUAGCGGUGGAAUGCGUAGAUAUAUGGAAGAACACCAGUGGCGAAGGCGGCUACCUGGUCUGCAACUGACGCU